rnacentral:lncRNA from 1 species
CAAUCCACGCUUGGAGCCUACAGACCGGGGCUUAGGCCCUGAAGAGAAGGGCUUGGGGCCUAAAGAGAGGGUCUGGGCCCUAAAGAGAGGGGUUUGCGGCCUGAAAGAGAAGGGUUUGGGCGCUAAAAAGAGGGUUUUGGGCCCUAAGGAGGAUUUGGGCCCCAAAGAGCAGGGUUUGGGUCUCAAAGAGAAGGGUUUGGGCCCUAAAGAGAGGGUUUGGGGCCCUAAAGAGAGGGGUUUGGGGCCUGAAGAGAGGGGUUUGGGCCUGAAAAAGAAGGGUUUGUGGCCUAAAGAGAGGGGUUUGGGGCCUAAGGAGAAGAAGGGUUUGUGGCCUAAAGAGAGGGUGUGGGCUCGAAAAAGAAGGGUUUGAGCCCAAAAGAGAAGAAGGGCCUGAAAGAGAACGGUUUGGGCCAUAAACAGAAGAACAAUUUGAGGCCAAAAAGGAAGGGUUGGGGUCUAAAGAGAGGGGUUUGUGCCCUACAGAGAAGGGCUUGGGCCCUAAAGAGAAAGGUUUGGUCCCUAAAGAGAAGGCUUUGUGCCCUGACUAGAAAAAGGAUUUGGGCCCUAAGGAGAAGAAGGGUUUGGGGCCUAAAGAGAACGGCCAGGGGCCUAUUGAGAAUGGCCAGGGCCCUAAAGGGAAGUGCCUGGGCCCUAAGGAGAAGGGUUAGAGGUCUCAAGUAAGGGUUUUGUGCCCUGAAGAAUUUUUUUUUUUUUUUUUUUGCCCUCAAGAGAAGGGUUUUGACACUGAAGGAAAGGGUUCAGGCUCUAAAGAGAAGGAUUUGGGCCCUAAAGAGAAG